rnacentral:rRNA from 1 species
CGUCCAGACUCCUACGGGAGGCAGCAGUGGGGAAUAUUGCACAAUGGGGGAAACCCUGAUGCAGCGACGCCGCGUGAAGGAAGAAGUAUUUCGGUAUGUAAACUUCUAUCAGCAGGGAAGAAAAUGACGGUACCUGACUAAGAAGCCCCGGCUAACUACGUGCCAGCAGCCGCGGUAAUACGUAGGGGGCAAGCGUUAUCCGGAUUUACUGGGUGUAAAGGGGGCGCAGACGGCGAUGCAAGCCAGGAGUGAAAGCCCGGGGCCCAACCCCGGGACUGCUCUUGGAACUGCGUGGCUAGAGUGCAGGAGGGGCAGGCGGAAUUCCUGGUGUAGCGGUGAAAUGCGUAGAUAUCAGGAGGAACACCGGUGGCGAGGGCGGCCUGCUGGACUGCAACUGACGUUGAGGCCCGAAAGCGUGGGGAGCAAACAGGAUUAGAUACCCCAGUA